rnacentral:lncRNA from 1 species
GUCGUCGCCGCGGCCGGAGCUCGCUCGCUCGCUCGCUCGCCGUGUCCGGGCCUGGGGAGGGAGGAGGUGAUCUCUGAGAGGUCUGAUAGCCCAUUCUGCAGAGAUUACAGACAGGGCCUUACAGUGGGUGCCAUUCCAGAGCAUUCACAAACUACAGAGGUAAGUCACUUGGAUCUCCAGUGGCGAGCUAGCUCUUGGUUUUUCUUACAUCGCCUUUCCAGUAUAACUAACAGAACUUCUCUGGGGGGUUGCCAUUUGUCUCCUUUCUGAACUGGAUUUUAGAUCGGGUCAGGGCCCUCAUGUCUUGGACGUGGUUUCAUAGGGAAGUUAGGUGGCUCUUGUAGAAUCUGCUUCCCCAACAGUAGAUCUGAGUGUGGCCGCACCAGCCUGCGGCAGGUUGCUCCGUCUCCAGUUGUCCAUGCACAUCCCUUCCCCCCACCUCCUACAGUCGUGGCCUUGACUCUGUUUCCCCUUGGGUUUCAGGUCCAGGUUGCCUAGCUCAUUUUCCAGUCACUUAGUCUUUGAGGAAAUAUUUUUUAGGCUUCUACAACUAGGUGAACUCAGCUAGAUUAUUAUGUAUUAUUUUGGGCCCUGGGGAAGAAGCCUCCUUUCUGGAGCAUUUCUUUAUCCUCUACAAUGUAAAAAAAAAAAAUGUAAAUAAAAUGAGCAUGGUACAUUGCCA